rnacentral:rRNA from 1 species
GCGCGAAAACUUCACAAUGCGCGAAAGCGCGAUGAGGGAAUCCCAAGUGCUUGCACGUAAGUGUAAGCUGUUUCUAUGUUUAAAACGCAUAGAGAGUAAGAGCUGGGUAAGACGGGUGCCAGCCGCCGCGGUAAUACCUGCAGCUCGAGUGGUGGCCGCUAUUAUUGGGCCUAAAACGUCCGUAGCCGGCUUAUUAAAUGCCUGGGUAAAUCGUAAGGCUUAACCUUACGAAUUCCGGGUAGACUGAUAGGCUUGGAACCGGGAGAAGCUAGAGGUACUCCUGGGGUAGAGGUGAAAUUCUGUAAUCCUAGGGGGACCACCAGUGGCGAAGGCGUCUAGCUAGAACGGGUUUGACGGUGAGGGACGAAGCCCUGGGGAGCAAACGGG